UGGGGAAUAUUGGUAAUCUGGGAAACCGGGAACCAGCAACGCCGCGUGCGCGAUGAAGGCCUUCGGGUUGUAAAGCGCUUUUUGAGAGGAUGAGGAAGGACAGUACUCUUAGAAUAUGCCUCGGCUAACUACGUGCCAGCAGCCGCGGUAACACGUAGGAGGCAAACGUUAUCCGGAUUUACUGGGCGUAAAGCGCGUGUAGGUGGUUCUGUAAGUAGGGCGUGAAAGCUCCUGGCUUAACUGGGAGAGGUCGUUCAAAACUAUCAGACUUGAGAGUGGUAGAGGGAGGUGGAAUUCCGCAUGUAGUGGUGAAAUGCGUAGAUAUGCGGAGGAACACCAGUGGCGAAAGCGGCCUCCUGGCCCAUUUCUGACGCUCAGACACGAAAGCUAAGGUAGCAAACG
rnacentral:rRNA from 1 species